UACAGAGGGGGCAAGCGUUGUUCGGAAUUACUGGGCGUAAAGCGCACGUAGGCGGCUUUGUAAGUUAGAGGUGAAAGCCUGGAGCUCAACUUCAGAAUUGCCUUUAAGACUGCAUCGCUAGAAUCCAGGAGAGGUGAGUGGAAUUCCGAGUGUAGAGGUGAAAUUCGUAGAUAUUCGGAAGAACACCAGUGGCGAAGGCGGCUCACUGGACUGGUAUUGACGCUGAGGUGCGAAAGCGUGGGGAGCAAACAGG
rnacentral:rRNA from 1 species